rnacentral:rRNA from 1 species
AACGAACGCUGGCGGCGUGGAUAAGACAUGCAAGUCGAACGGGACUAAAUCUGCAGCAAUACAGGUUUAGUUUAGUGGCGAACGGGUGCGUAACACGUGGACAAUCUGCCUUAAAGUGGGGGAUAGCUCGGCGAAAGCCGAAUUAAUACUGCAUGUGAUGAGAGACGACAUCGUCUUGAAAUCAAAGCCGGGGCAACCUGGCGCUUUUGAGGAGUCCGCGGCCUANCAGCUUGUUGG